rnacentral:ncRNA from 1 species
ACUCUAGCCUGACGUUGUAAAAUGACUUGAUCGGUGUAAAAUAAGUGGGAGACUUUGCCGUCCGUGUAAAACCACUACUUCUAAUGUUGUUUUACUUAUACCAUCAUGUAACAACUGCGCGGCUUCGCGGUCGUUUAAGUUCCAGAUAUAAGCUUGAACUUUGUUUGAGUGAGUUUCAGGGACGUCUUGUUCGAAUGUUGAAU